GACGAACGCUGGCGGCGUGCUUAACACAUGCAAGUCGAACGGAAAGUCCCUGCUUUUUUGUGGUUCUCGUGUGGCGCUCGUGUGUGUAUCACGUGUGUUACCUGCCCUUUACUUUUUGUUAUCUUCAGGUAACUGGUUCUAUUACCGGAUAGUAGCUCCUGCUGCAUGGUGUGUGUUGGUUAUUUUCGGCGGUUGGGGAUGUACUCGCGGCUUAUCAGCUUGUUGGUGGAGUAGUGGCUUACCAAGGCUUUGACGGGUAGCCGGCCUGAGAGGGUGACCGGCGACAAGGGGACUGAGAUACGGAGCAGAAUCCUACGGGAGGAAGCAGUGGGGAAUAUUGCAGAAUGGGCGGAAGCCUGAUGAAGAAACGCCGCGUGCGGGAUGACGGCCUUCGGGUUGUAAACCGCGUUCGACUGUGACGAAGCGUGAGUGACGGUAAUGGGUAAAGAAGCACCGGCUAACUACGUG
rnacentral:rRNA from 1 species